UACGUAGGGGGCAAGCGUUGUCCGGAAUUAUUGGGCGUAAAGCGCGUGUAGGCGGCUCGGUAAGUCUGCUGUGAAAGUCCAGGGCUCAACCCUGGAAUGCCGGUGGAUACUGUCGAGCUCGAGUCCGGAAGAGGCGAGUGGAAUUCCUGGUGUAGCGUUGAAAUGCGCAGAUAUCAGGAGGAACACCAAUGGCGAAGGCAGCUCGCUGGGACGGUACUGACGCUGAGACGCGAAAGCGUGGGGAGCAAACAGG
rnacentral:rRNA from 1 species